GGCGACAUGGCCGAGUGGUUAUGGCGGUCGGUUCAAGAUCUCUAUCUUGCCUGUUAAGCGGGUUUAAUUCGACUAACGAAAGUUGCGAGGGUUCGAGUCCCUCUGUCGUCA
rfam:Cordyceps militaris CM01 unplaced genomic scaffold CCM_S00006, whole genome shotgun sequence.